GGCGGAUGUACCCAAGGGAAUCAAGGCAGU
rnacentral:tRNA from 1 species